AUUGAACGCUGGCGGCAGGCCUAACACAUGCAAGUCGAACGGUAACAGGAAGCAGCUUGCUGCUUCGCUGACGAGUGGCGGACGGGUGAGUAAUGUCUGGGAAGCUGCCUGAUGGAGGGGGAUAACUACUGGAAACGGUAGCUAAUACCGCAUAAUGUCGCAAGACCAAAGAGGGGGACCUUCGGGCCUCUUGCCAUCGGAUGUGCCCAGAUGGGAUUAGCUUGUUGGUGGGGUAACGGCUCACCAAGGCGACGAUCCCUAGCUGGUCUGAGAGGAUGACAGGCAACACGGGAAAGAAGACACGGUGCAGACUACUACGGUAGGAAGCAGGAGUGAAGUUGCCGCAAUGGUGGAAAGACGGACGGAGCAACGGGGGGUGAGGGAUGAAGGUAUUCGGAUACUAAAACUCGGUGAUCAGGGAAGAACAAAUGGGUAAGUAACUGUGCACGCAGGGAGGGUACCUGAUCAGAAAGCCACGGCUAACUACGGG
rnacentral:rRNA from 1 species